GAUGAACGCUGGCGGCGUGCCUAAUACAUGCAAGUCGAGCGAACAGACGAGGAGCUUGCUCCUCUGACGUUAGCGGCGGACGGGUGAGUAACACGUGGAUAACCUACCUAUAAGACUGGGAUAACUUCGGGAAACCGGAGCUAAUACCGGAUAAUAUAUUGAACCGCAUGGUUCAAUAGUGAAAGACGGUUUUGCUGUCACUUAUAGAUGGAUCCGCGCCGCAUUAGCUAGUUGGUAAGGUAACGGCUUACCAAGGCAACGAUGCGUAGCCGACCUGAGAGGGUGAUCGGACACACUGGAACUGAGACACGGUCCAGACUCCUACGGGAGGCAGCAGUAGGGAAUCUUCCGCAAUGGGCGAAAGCCUGACGGAGCAACGCCGCGUGAGUGAUGAAGGUCUUCGGAUCGUAAAACUCUGUUAUUAGGGAAGAACAAAUGUGUAAGUAACUAUGCACGUCUUGACGGUACCUAAUCAGAAAGCCACGGCUAACUACGUG
rnacentral:rRNA from 1 species